rnacentral:rRNA from 1 species
UACGAAGGUCCCAAGCGUUGUUCGGAAUCACUGGGCGUAAAGUGAGCGUAGGCGGCGCGGUAAGUCGGAUGUGAAAUCCCGGGGCUCAACCCCGGAACUGCAUCUGAUACUGCCGUGCUAGAGUAAUGGAGGGGUAGCUGGAAUUAUCGGUGUAGCAGUGAAAUGCGUAGAUAUCGAUAGGAACACUCGUGGCGAAAGCGGGCUCCUGGACCUUUACUGACGCUGAGGCUCGAAGGCUAGGGGAGCGAACGGG